UCGGAUCGCAGUCUGCAACUCGACUGCGUGAAGGUGGAGUCGCUAGUAAUCGCGGAUCAGCAACGCCGCGGUGAAUGCGUUCCCGGGCCUUGUACACACCGCCCGUCAAGUCAUGAAAGUGGGCAGCACCCGAAGACGGUGGCCUAACCCUUGUGGGAGGAGCCGUCUAAGGUGAGGCUCGUGAUUGGGACUAAGUCGUAACAAGGUAAC
rnacentral:rRNA from 1 species